rnacentral:rRNA from 1 species
ACGCUGGCGGCGUGCCUAACACAUGCAAGUCGAGCGGGAAGUCUGUUGAUUGAAACUUCGGUAGAUUGAUGCAGAGGAGUAGCGGCGGACGGGUGAGUAACGCGUAGGUAACCUGCCCCUUACACAGGGAUAGCCUCGGGAAACUGGGAUUAAUACCUGAUAAUGCGUCGGAGUCACAUGUCUCUGACGCCAAAGAUUUAUCGGUGAGGGAUGGACCUGCGUCUGAUUAGCUUGUUGGUGAGGUAACGGCCCACCAAGGCAACGAUCAGUAGCCGACCUGAGAGGGGUAAUCGGCCACAUUGGAACUGAGACACGGUCCAAACUCCUACGGGAGGCAGCAGUGGGGAAUAUUGCACAAUGGGCGCAAGCCUGAUGCAGCAACGCCGCGUGAGCGAAGAAGGUCUUCGGAUCGUAAAGCUCUGUCCUAUGGAACGAAGAAGUGACGGUACCAUGGGAGGAAGCCCCGGCUAACUACGUGCC